AAGGGAGACCUACCCGAUUGACUCAGAGCAAAUUUUAUAGCUGUGAGCGAUUGAGGUCACUCUAGGUCGUAGCAGGGCUUGAUAUCUCAGACUAUUGUUUAGGUUAAACGAGGCUGGGGCUAUUAGCUCAGGUGGUUAGAGCGCACCCCUGAUAAGGGUGAGGUCCCUGGUUCGAGUCCAGGAUGGCCCACUGUGAUGGGGGUAUAGCUCAGUUGGUAGAGCGCCUGCUUUGCAAGCAGGAUGUCAGCGGUUCGAGUCCGCUUACCUCCACCAAAGAGACGAGAUAGCUAAGAAUUAAAUUCAGCACCUUGUCGUUGUAGAUAAGCUGCUGGGCUUAGGUCUAGCGAGAACCUUGACAACUGCAUAGAUUAGUCGAAAUGGUAGUUCGACAGAUGAGACUCUUAGUAUAAGUGACUGAAA
rnacentral:tRNA from 1 species